AGUUGUACAGUUCAUUGGACUUUGGAAGAAAAUGGCAGCUCAUCCACGAACGCGUCACGCCAAACAGAUUCUACUGGUCUGUCUCCGGGCUCGACAAGGAGCUAGAUCUGGUCCACAUGGAGGCACAUACGCCAGAUGGAAAUGUGCAGUAUGUCACAUGCAGAGCUCCAAUGUGCACAGAAGCUAACAGGAACUACC